rnacentral:rRNA from 1 species
CAGCCGCCGCGGUAAUACAGAGGGUGCAAGCGUUAAUCGGAAUUACUGGGCGUAAAGCGCGCGUAGGUGGUUUGUUAAGUUGGAUGUGAAAGCCCCGGGCUCAACCUGGGAACUGCAUCCAAAACUGGCAAGCUAGAGUACGGUAGAGGGUGGUGGAAUUUCCUGUGUAGCGGUGAAAUGCGUAGAUAUAGGAAGGAACACCAGUGGCGAAGGCGACCACCUGGACUGAUACUGACACUGAGGUGCGAAAGCGUGGGGAGCAAACAGGAUUAGAUACCCGCGUAGUCCCUGUCUCUUAUAA